UUAAUAAUGGUAAGUUUACUUUUCCCGAAAUAAAAAGAUCUAAAAUAAAUUUUUAUGUGUUUUAAAACAUUUUUUUAUUCUUUUUUAGGUGUGAAAGGCUUAUCAAAUUUUAUGAUAUCUGGAUUGAGCUGUAAUGUAUAUAGUGCAGAUAUAGUAUUGAUUAAACCUCUGUUAAGGGAGAUUUAAUUUUUAGAAAAUAAUAGUAUUUUAGUUUUUGAUAACCCUGUAAUAAUCUUUCUACUAUAUAAAUUUUUUUGUUAUUAUUCUUUUUUUUCGGCUUUUAAAAGUUACAAUUUUUAAAUUUUUUAAUAAUGUUAAAAUAAGUAUUUUUAAGUAAUUCCUAUUAAGGAACUCGGCAAAAAGUUUGCUCAACUGUUUAUCAAAAACAUAGUUUUAUGAAAUUUUAUAAAAUGAAACCUGCCCAAUGAAGAUUUAAUGGCCGCAGUACUUUAACUGUGCUAAGGUAGCAUAAUAAUUUGGCUUUUAAUUAAAGUCUGGUAUGAAAGGAUUAAUGGGUGAAAUCUGUCUUGUUUGACUUAAAAAAAAUUACUUAAGAGGUGAAAAUACCUCUGGAGAAUAAUUAGACGAGAAGACCCUAGGAGUUUUUGUUUUGUUGGGGCAACAUUUUAGUAAGGCAAUCUACUUAGUAUAUUUAACGAAUGUAUUAAUUAUAAUUAAACUACCCUAGGGAUAACAGCAUAAUUUUUUUAAAAAUGUGACCUCAUGUUGG
rnacentral:rRNA from 1 species